rnacentral:rRNA from 1 species
CACGUAGGGUGCGAGCGUUGUCCGGAAUUAUUGGGCGUAAAGAGCUCGUAGGCGGUGUGUCGCGUCGGCCGUGAAAACCUGCAGCUUAACUGUGGGCGUGCGGUCGAUACGGGCAUCACUGGAGUUCGGCAGGGGAGACUGGAAUUCCUGGUGUAGCGGUGAAAUGCGCAGAUAUCAGGAGGAACACCGGUGGCGAAGGCGGGUCUCUGGGCCGACCCUGACGCUGAGGCGCGAAGGCGUGGGGAGCGAACGGG